UUCCACUCUUUUUCAGCCCAGGUAACAAUCUCUUCAGAGGAGUCCUCUUUCCUCACUGACCACAGGUCAUCCACCCCCAAGGACCGCUGAUAGCCUUUCCAGACAAGCCUGGAGAACACACAGACAUCUGUAAGACAACCACCAGUAUGUGAUUUUGGACAGAAAAGAGCUGUUGGCUUCUGGACACUGAUUCUGAUGGAAAGAAAAACAUGGAUGAUAUUUAUAUAGAGAAGAGAGUGUGCUUCCAAUGAUGUCUCUUCUGUACUCCCCAAGGAAAAAACAAUUAAAAAGUUACCCAGCCCCCAUUCACUGCCUCUGACAGUGUAAAUGUAUUGAGAAGGAUCAAUGGGAUCAGGAAACUUUGGAGAAAUAGGCUUUGAGUAACUUCUCAGAUGGAGGAAGGAAGAAUAUUAUUUUUCUUACUCAGACAUUUACUUUCUGAAGCACAGAGCUCUGCCAUACUCAUAUGUCAGGCAGAGGAAUGUACUGCUGCACAGAAGACCAUGGAGAAGCAAAAUGAGCCCUACACUAGUUUAAGUGAAAACAAACGCCAUGUUGGAUUUUGGAACUAAACAUCACAACCGCAGACAAGAAUGAGAGCAGCCAGUAUAUCAACAAGAUGCCUGAGGACUGGAUGCCCAUCAUUCUUUCCGCCUGGGUAAGGACCAUGGCAAGGAUCUGUGAGGAAGUAGAAAUAUAUAAAUAGCUGGUAGUGGAAUGCCAAACAUUACUAUCAAAUUAAUGAACACAAUAAAGCAAAAUCAACUA